ensembl:lncRNA
GUUGGUUUGGACACAUUCGCAUCAGUUCAUCGCUCAAUCGCGAGUUACAGUCUGCUAGCUAGCGAAGUCAUCGACUACCAUCGUUUAAAUACCUUGGCCAGAGCAUAACCGAUUAUCUUCACCCAAGAGACCUACUGUUGGUCAAUCGUUUUGGUUUUAAAGAAGUUGCAUUGAUUCCAGAAAGCCAGGAAAAUGUUGAGCCAUCUGUAGACUUCAGAGUUGGUUUCUCCCUAGUAAUCCAGACUCCACUUCAGAGCCAAGAGUUUGAGUACAAGGCACUUGACUUUCUGGAUAAAAGGUGUGGAGGUGUGUUGUACAUAUCAUUAGCUUUGCACAGUUCAAUUAUUGUUUCAUUACUGAAUAUGCAAUCUCUGCAGUGAAAUUAAAGCUGUUAUGUUUUUUCCCCCAGUUCAUCAAGUACUAAACUUUACACCCCCAGCAGAAAAUGUACCCAGGCAGCAAAUGGGUGAAAAGGCUGGAGGAGAAAGUCAUCGCUCCGUUAUUGGCCCUUGGACUCCCCUGGCAUCGCAUGUACAGCAUGAAGUUUUCAGCAAUGAAGGUAUAUUCUAGGCCUAUGUCCUAAUGUCCAGUUUUUUAACAGUUUUGAAAAUAACUGUGCCUUUAGUUUUCCAGAACGAGAACCAAGCCCUGAGGGAGGAGAACCAAGCCCUGAGGGAGGAGAACCAAGCCCUGAGGGAGGAGAACCAAGCCCUGAGGGAGGAGAACCAAGCCCUGAGGGAGGAGAACCAAGCCCUGAGGGAGGAGAACCAUGCCCUGAGGGAGGGGAGCCAUGCACGAGCAGCUUCGGGUGACAGCGGCUCGCUUCAAGAGCAGGUGAAGCUAUUUGGGACAAUGCUGAAGAUGUUUGCUCGCACUGGGCAAUCAGGUUCAACUUGCAAACAACACCUGUGGUUGUUGAUUUAAUUCCCACUGGGUCCACAUGUGCAGAUCAGACCCUAGUGCUGCGACGUCUUGGAGAGUUUGGCGAUGUUGUGCGUAGCAUGGAAAACAAAAUGGACACUAUGCUGCAACAUUUCAGUGCCAAUGUGUCUGUUGGAGAGCUAUCCCUGCCAGGGGAUGUUACUCCCCCUAGACACCCAGGAAGAUUUGGUGUUUCUUGACAGCAUUUUGAGGGAGGAUAAAGAGCUCCAGGAACGAUUUCUUCGGUUUUUGGCUAUCAAAUGUGGGAGGGACCUGAAGACAACAGUGUGGAGAAUGCUUCAGAGUAUUUUCUCUAAUAACCUUGC